UGGAGUUAACUGACCAUAAUAAAGUGGUAUUAUUAGAAAGAGGUGCAUUGCGUCCACUUCUUAACUGGGUCUCUCAUGGUGGUAUUCAAAUGAAAAGCGUAGCUGUUAAAGCUCUUCGAAACCUCUCAAGCGUACCAAAAAAUGGCUUGCAGAUGAUCAAAGAAGGUGCAUCCCGCCCAUUACUUGACCUCCUCCAUCUUGGCUCAUCAUCCUCAGCAUUACGAGAACAAGUCGCCGCAACGGUUAUGCACCUUGCAGUAUCCACUAUGUCACAAGAAUCCACUGAGACUCCAGUUUCUUUAUUGGAAUCUGAUGAGGAUGUUUUCAUGGUCUUCUCUUUGAUUAGCCUGACUGGACCAGAAAUCCAACAAAACCUUCUGC
rnacentral:lncRNA from 1 species